GAACGCGGGCGGCGUGCUUAACACAUGCAAGUCGAACGGUGAACCCGCUUCGGUGGGGGAUCAGUGGCGAACGGGUGAGUAACACGUGGGCAACCUGCCCCCGGCUCUGGGAUAACUCCAAGAAAUUGGGGCUAAUACCGGAUAUUUCCGCUGACCGCAUGGUCUGGUGGUGGAAAGGGUUUCCGGCCGGGGAUGGGCCCGCGGCCUAUCAGCUUGUUGGUGGGGUAGUGGCCUACCAAGGCGACGACGGGUAGCCGGCCUGAGAGGGUGACCGGCCACACUGGGACUGAGACACGGCCCAGACUCCUACGGGAGGCAGCAGUGGGGAAUAUUGCGCAAUGGGCGAAAGCCUGACGCAGCGACGCCGCGUGGGGGAUGACGGCCUUCGGGUUGUAAACCUCUUUCAGCAGGGACGAAGCCGUGAGGUGACGGUACCUGCAGAAGAAGCACCGGCCAACUACGUGCCAGCAGCCGCGGUAAUACGUAGGGUGCAAGCGUUGUCCGGAAUUAUUGGGCGUAAAGAGCUCGUAGGCGGUUCGUCGCGUCGGCUGUGAAAUCCCGAGGCUCAACCUCGGGUCUGCAGUCGAUACGGGCGGACUGGAGUUCGGCAGGGGAGACUGGAAUUCCUGGUGUAGCGGUGAAAUGCGCAGAUAUCAGGAGGAACACCGGUGGCGAAGGCGGGUCUCUGGGCUGAUACUGACGCUGAGGAGCGAAAGCGUGGGGAGCGAACAGGAUUAGAUACCCUGGUAGUCCACGCCGUAAACGUUGGGCGCUAGGUGUGGGGGCCAUUCCACGGUCUCCGUGCCGCAGCUAACGCAUUAAGCGCCCCGCCUGGGGAGUACGGCCGCAAGGCUAAAACUCAAAU
rnacentral:rRNA from 1 species